UACGUAGGGUGCAGGCGUUAAUCGGAAUUACUGGGCGUAAAGCGUGCGCAGGCGGUUUGCUAAGACAGGUGUGAAAUCCCCGGGCUUAACCUGGGAACUGCGCUUGUAACUGGCAAGCUGGGAGUGUGGCAGAGGGGGGGUGGAAUUCCACGUGUAGCAGUGAAAUGCGUAGAGAUGUGGAGGAACACCGAUGGCGAAGGCAGCCCCCCUGGGCUAACACUGACGCUCAUGCACGAAAGCGUGGGGAGCAAACAGG
rnacentral:rRNA from 1 species